rnacentral:lncRNA from 10 species
CGUAGCUAGAGUUAAAAAAAAAAAAAAUCAGUAAACUGGAGAAUCUCAAAUUCCUACCAAUUCUGAGACUACAAGCUAUUUUAAACUUAAGCCACUGAAAGGUUAUUAGGAAUGUUUAUCAUUUACAGGUAUAAUGUUUUGCAAAGCCAAAAGUAAUUAAUUUACGGUUAAUCCAAAAUAAAAAAUCCAAAACACUAUGUUCUCCCAAUAGCAUACAAAAAGAUUGGAUAGAAAGGCAUUAUACAAUAGCUGUAAUUUACCUCUUAACAGAGAGAGACAGAGACAAACAGCCGGCCUCUAAGAUAGCCCCCAAAGACCCCUGCCUCCUGGUCUUCACAUCUUUGUAUAAUCCCCUCCGAUUGAGUAUGGGCUGGAUUUGGUUAUUCACUUACAACAAAUAGAAUAUUGCAAAGUGAUGCGACGUUACUUCUGAAAUUAAGUUAUAAAAACUUUGUGGCUUCCAUCGUAUGGGCCUUUUCUCUAAGAUCCCUCACUCUGGAGGAAACAAGCUACUGUGUUGUCAGCCACUUUAUGGAGAGGCCCACAUGGCAAGGAACUGAUAUCUCUGGGCAACAACCAGCCAGUGAAAAUCUGGCCUGGUCACAGCCAAAUGAGUGAGCUCGGAAGGGGAAGCUUCCCCAGUCAAGCCUUGAGGACUGCUACCCAGGCCAGACACGGUGGCUCAUGCCUGUAAUCCCAGCACUUUAGGAGGCUAAGGCGGGCAGAUCCCUUGAAUUAAGGUGUUCAAGAGCAGCCUAGGCAACAUGGCAAAACAAAAAAAUACUGGUCUCUACCAAAAAACCCACAAAAACAAAAAAAUAAGCUGGGGUGUGGUGGUGCACAUCUAUAGUCCCAACUACUCAGGAGGCUGAGGUAAGAGGAUCACUUGGACUCAAGAGGUGAGGGUUGCAAUGAGCCGAGAUUAUGCCAUUGCACUCCAGCCUGGGCACCACAGCAAGCCUCUGUCUUUAAAAAAAAAAAAAAAAAAGAGAGAGAGAGAACUGCUACCAAGCCGUCACCUUGGUUGCAGCCUUGUAAGAGACCAUAAGCCAGAGGCCCCCAGGUAAGCUGCAUCCAGAAUUGUGACUCACAGAAACUAUGAUAUAACAGAUCCUUGUUUUUUUAAGCCACUAAGUUUUGGGGUAACAUAAGGCAAAAGAUAACCAAUCUACAUAGUUACCACAGGUCAACCCCAAAAGAAUCUAAUGUGAUGACUUCUGCUUACCUUUCAUCACAGUAUUUAAUCUCCCAGGUUCUACAUUAUUAUCCAGCAUUUAUAAGCUCCAUUCUACUUUAGCUGAUUUCACCAUUACCCAAAAACUCUCCUCAUUCUCACCUCAUUCAGUUCCUUAGAAUGACUUCCUCUUUUUUAUCCACCCAAAUCCUAGCCAUCUUUGACAACACCUACAGAGGUCUCUUCCAUGAGUAUCUAUUACUAUCCACUUAUUUAAAUUACUCACUAACCUAACAGCUUUAACUCUAAGAGAUUCUCAACUCCUUAAGAAUAAGUCUUCUCAUAUUCCUUUAAACAGGACUUUAUAUCUAUCCAGGACUUUAUAUCUCUUCCAGCAUACUAAUAAAUUAGAAAACUCAACAUUCUAUAUUAAAAAAAUCUAGGACUGGAAGGGAAAUCAAGAACUCCAAUCUAGAAUGUCAGAUGUCACUAGUUUAGUUUGUCUAUUUGAAAAUACUGGCCGGGUGCAGUGGCUCAUGCCUGUAAUCCCAGCACUUUGGGAGGCCAAGUCGGGUGGAUCACCUGAGGUCAGGAGUUCGAGAUCAGCCUGGCCAACAUGGUGAAACCCCGUCUCUACCAAAAAUACAAAAUUAGCCGGGCGUAGUGGUGGGCGCCUGUAAUCCCAGCUACUCGGGAGGCUGAAGGAGGAGAAUCGCUUGAACCCAGCAGGCGAAGGUUGCAGUGAGCCGAGAUGGCGCCACUGCACCCCAGCCUGGGCAAGAGAGAAAAGACUCUGUCUCCAAAAAAGAAAAGAAAAGAAAAGAAAAUACUGAGUAAAGACCACCUUAGCUGAAGGAUAGCAUAGCAUGAAGGAUAGCAUCUACGAUGACAAACAUCUUCCAACCCUAUGAUUAGCCUAGUAAACGUUGCCUAGGUUCUGGAAAUUUUCCCAUUAUUACCUUUUUUUUGAAGUAGAUUCUUCCUUCGCUGUCACCCAGGCUUCAGUCUAUGACCCC